CAAGUACUCCCUCCGUCCGGAAAUACUUGUCAUCAAAAUGAAUAAAAAGGGAUGUAUCUAGAUGUAUUUUAGUUUUAGAUACACCCCUUUUUGUCCAUUUUGAUGACGGAGGGAGUAGUAG
rnacentral:pre_miRNA from 1 species